rnacentral:tRNA from 1 species
GGAGGGGUGCCGGAGUGGUUGAACGGGGCAGUCUCGAAAACUGUUGGCGUCGCAAGGCGCUCGUGGGUUCGAAUCCCACCCCCUCCG